AGCAUCCGUCUGGGAAUUUUUCUUCGAAGAUACCCUGUAGCACGAGUUUUUGUAAUUAUAUAUAUGGCUUUGCUUCACCUCUGGGUCAUGAUUGUUCUGUUGACUUACACACCAGAAAUGCACCAUGACCAACCAUAUGGCAAGUGAACUGAGUCCGAGUGUUGCAAUGAUCGGUUGUCUUUUCCUAGAUUUGGGAUCUGCAAAAAGGCCAUUUGCCUAAAAUUCCUGAAAACAGUGCACAAGAUUAUUUUAUCACUACAAGCUCUUAACUUUUUAAGUUAUUAUUUAAGUAUUCUGCUACCUAAAUCUUCCUCUUAUUUCCUUCAAAUGGUAAGAGUUUCUAAAACAGAUGAUAAUUUAACAAGCUCAGCUCUGCUUUUUCUGAGUGGUCCUAAUAUAUAGAGAGAUACUGGGAUUGUUCAGUUCUGUACAGACCAUCCUGUAUUUUAGGUGACACUGAUUAUGGGUUAUAAUCAGGGAAAUUAAUUGUACUUAGUGCUAAAAAUAAACAGUUUUCUUUUUUGAUAA